rnacentral:rRNA from 1 species
UACAGAGGUCCCAAGCGUUGUUCGGAUUCACUGGGCGUAAAGGGUGCGUAGGUGGUGAGGUAAGUCGGAUGUGAAAGCUCGGAGCUCAACUCCGAAAUGGCAUUGGAAACUACCUUGCUCGAGGGUUGGAGGGGGGACUGGAAUGCUUGGUGUAGCAGUGAAAUGCGUAGAUAUCAAGCGGAACACCAGUGGCGAAGGCGAGUCCCUGGGCAACUCCUGACACUGAGGCACGAAAGCCAGGGGAGCAAACGGG